AUUGAACGCUGGCGGCAGGCCUACCACAUGCAAGUCGAGCGGAGCGGCGGACGGGUGAGUAAUGCCUAGGAAUCUGCCUGGUAGUGGGGGAUAACGUCCGGAAACGGGCGCUAAUACCGCAUACUAUCAGAUGAGCCUAGGUCGGAUUAGCUAGUUGGGGGGGUAAAGGCCUACCAAGGCGACGAUCCGUAACUGGUCUGAGAGGAUUAUCAGUCACACCUGGACGUAGACACGGUCCAGACUCCUACGGGAGGCAGCAGUGGGGAAGAUUGGACUAUGGGCGAAAGCCUGAUCCAGCCAUGCCGCUUGUGUGAAGAAGGGCUUCGGAUUGUAAAGCACUUUAAGUUUGGAGGCGUUACCAACAGAAUAAGCACCGGCUAACUUCGUGCCAGCAGCCGCGGUAAUUC
rnacentral:rRNA from 1 species